UGGGGAAUCUUAGACAAUGGGGGCAACCCUGAUCUAGCCAUGCCGCGUGAGUGAUGAAGGCCUUCGGGUUGUAAAGCUCUUUCAGCUGGGAAGAUAAUGACGGUACCAGCAGAAGAAGCCCCGGCUAACUCCGUGCCAGCAGCCGCGGUAAUACGGAGGGGGCUAGCGUUGUUCGGAAUUACUGGGCGUAAAGCGCACGUAGGCGGACCAGCAAGUUAGGGGUGAAAUCCCGGGGCUCAACCCCGGAACUGCCCUUAAGACUGUUGAUCUGGAGUUCGAGAGAGGUGAGUGGAAUUCCGAGUGUAGAGGUGAAAUUCGUAGAUAUUCGGAGGAACACCAGUGGCGAAGGCGGCUCACUGGCUCGAUACUGACGCUGAGGUGCGAAAGCGUGGGGAGCAAACAGG
rnacentral:rRNA from 1 species